rnacentral:piRNA from 1 species
CAUAUGGUAAAUUGGAACUGGGACCUAAAGU